rnacentral:rRNA from 1 species
CCUACGGGCGGCUGCAGUAAGGAAUAUUGGUCAAUGGACGAAAGUCUGACCCAGCCAUGCCGCGUGGAGGAUGAAGGUCCUCUGGAUUGUAAACUUCUUUUAUAUGGGACGAAAAAAGGCCUUUCCAGGUCGUCUGACGGUACCAUAUGAAUAAGCACCGGCUAACUCCGUGCCAGCAGCCGCGGUAAUACGGAGGGUGCAGGCGUUAUCCGGAUUCACGGGGUUGAAGGUGUGCGGGUAAGGGUUUGGAGAAAUCCCCGAGCUUAACUUGGGAACUGCCAGUGAUACUAUCAGUCUUGAAUACCGUGGAGGUCAGCGGAAUAUGUCAUGUAGCGGUGAAAUGCUUAGAUAUGACAUAGAACACCAAUUGCGAAGGCAGCUGGCUACACGAGUAUUGACACUGAGGCACGAAAGCGUGGGGAUCAAACAGGAUUAGAUACCCGAGUAGUC